UACGAAGGGGGCUAGCGUUGCUCGGAAUCACUGGGCGUAAAGAGCUCGUAGGCGGCUUGUCGCGUCGUCCGUGAAAACCUGCGGCUCAACUGCAGGCUGCGGUCGAUACGGGCAGGCUGGAGUUCGGUAGGGGAGACUGGAAUUCCUGUGUAGCGGUGAAAUGCGCAGAUAUCAGGAGGAACACCGAUGGCGAAGGCAGGUCUCUGGGCAUUAACUGACGCUGAGGAGCGAAAGCAUGGGGAGCGAACAGG
rnacentral:rRNA from 1 species